AUACAUCAAACACACGACAUAGCUCACAAAGAUCACAUGUUUCUUCACAAAGAUCACAAAGUCACAAGUAUCACAAAAUAGUUCACAGCACUAACAAGUACUCACAUAAAUGAGUCCACAAACAUCCAAUAUAUGCCAUAAACAUGUCUUACAACUAAGUUUAGAAGAACAUCAAUGAGGUGGGCGGUUGGAUUGGUUCCACGAUGGGCUAGGCUAUCCAUGAGGGUUGUUUGAUGCUGCAGAUUGUCCCUGCAGAGAGAAGAGAUUGCAUCUAUGAGACCAGAUGAAUAUAUAUCAUGCAGAGAACUAUUUUGUGGCUUGCAAGUUCACAUCUGAAUUAUCCAAAGAAAUUCAAUUAAACGAACUAAAUCUAAUAGUUAUAGCAAACACUUUGAUAAUUGUGCCAAAAUUGGACAUGUAGGUAUAUAUAGUGUAGGAACACAGUAGAGAAAGUUUGGUGGAGAAAAGAAAAAAAAUAAAAAUACACUUUGUCGAAUGCUUUCCUAAAGCACUCAACAAUGAAGGUAUUUUGUCGAGUGUCUGCUAGGAAUUCUCGGUAAAGCUAACGGUCGUCAGCUACCGUCGGUAGGUGACGACACUUUGCCGAGAGCCCUUUUUAGCCGAGUACUUGGCUCUCGGCAAAGAAGUAUUCAUCAAGAGCCUUUUUAUGCCACGAGUUUGGCCCUCGACAGAGACUCUCUUUGCUGAGUGUCGUUCUAUGCCGAGAGCAACACUUGGCAAAGUAUGUUUUGUCGAGUACCUGAUAAAUAGCUCUCGGUAAAUAGCUAGACACUCGACAAAGAGCUGGAUUUUGGUAGUGCAUGGUGCUGUUGAAGACGUCAUCCCACCCUCGUCAUCUUGAUAAAUGUACACCCUGAUCCACCUAUGGACCUCUCCUUUAUUAGGAUGAAGUCACUUUUAGAGAAACUUGCCUUGGUAUUGGGAACUAUUUCCUCAUUCGAAAGAUAAGAGAACUCAUGUGUUACUUGUAGUGGCACCCAUUUAGGGUCAUCGCUUCGUUUUGAGAGUGUCGAAAGAGUGCCACAUAUUGCAACAUCAUUAUCAAUAACCCUCGUAUUAUCAACAUCUUUCAUAUGAUGAUCGUCAUCUUGGGCAAUUUGUGAUGCCUCUUUACUAUUCUUCUCAAGCUCUCAAGGUGGUGUGUUGGGCUUUUAUUUGCCCGAUCUCCUUUGGAGGAGUUGGAGCAUUUGAUUUUUCCUUUACAUGAUUUUUAGUAUCGACUUCCAUUGUGGGCUCCUUUAGUUUAGGAGAACCAAUCCCAUGAUUGGACGUAAUUGUUCAUGUGUUCUCCUUUAGUUUAGAAGACACUGAAGACUUUGUCCAUGUCCCUUGGACAACACACAUUGUCCAUGACGAAGGCUUUGAAGGCCUCCCCCACUUAGGAGGCCAAGGAAUAUCAUCGAGACCACAGUAUGAGUGUGCCUCCCUAAAGCUACAAGAAAUCCUAGCUGGUUAGGGAAGGGCACACAUGUGACAGCCCUCCCAAGUUAGCAGGCCCACAUGCACCAACCCUUGCCAUUAACGGCCUUAGAUGGCUGUGCACGUGUCCCGGGUAACUUAACAAGGCUAUCGAGUUCACCAACUCGAACUCAUCAUCCCGAAGAUCUCCCACAUUCAUGCAUAUUACAGUAAUCACACCCGAUACACAUGCACUUCGGAGAUAGAGCGGAAGACUCUACAAAACAUAUUUUACAUUUACAAAGAUCAAGUUUUACAACAUAAGAAGAAUUGUAAUUAUGACAAGUCCUGAUAGUACCCAAAGUGCAUAACUGAUUAUAAUAAUUGGAAGGGUGAAGCCUUUCCAUAAGAGAUACACAUAAACAUUCUAAGCUUCAAGGCCUCCACAUGACGUAACUAACCAAAAGAUAAGGGAAUAAAACUUCUGCAAAAACAACAGGGGAUAAAACCCUGAGUAUGGAAUUACUCAGCAAGACUUACCCGACUAAAGAAAAGACUCUCAAGGGUAUGCUAGCUGAUUGGGAAUCAAGGUAAAGUGUAUCAAUGAUCAAAGACUCUUUUUUUGCAGAAAAGCUUGCUACCAGUUGAUCCUUAAGCCAAGUUUUAUUUCACUAGUUAGGUUAUUACCUAAAUCUAUAUUUGCCUGGUCUAGUUCAAGCACUUGGCCUAUACUAGUUGCAUUUUAUUCAUUCUCAUAUUUCACUUGCUAACUACGAUGAUGGUCACCAGGAUGAGUCUCCAUAACCGAGGAGCAACGACGAUUCGAACCGAUUAUACCCAGCUGGGGAUCUCUAACCACACGACAUAUGUAGCACUUAACCCUUGCAUAUGUCAACCGUUCCCACGGAGUCCUCCACUACAUGAACAGGUCCACGCCACCUGAGAGCACAUUACCUACCAGGCGUGCGCUGUGCCAGGAGGGUACAUGCUACUCUCGCCAUCUCUCCACUCCUAGUGCAUGAUUGUCUCUUCACGUAUGGAAUAGUCGGGUUCAAGCUUACCCUGUCCCAUACCAGGGUAUGUGGCUAGUUGCAAAGUCUCAACCACAACAGGCCAGUCAACGGUACGGUCCUUAAUCAACACAGACGGGCGACCAUGUCAGCUCAGCGUCUGGUCUCGAUUUAUUCAAACCAUUUCCCCAUUUUUGGUACCCGGCAGGGGUACUCUUUUCGAAUGAUGAACCCAUCCGGAGCCUUGAUGGACUCAUCAUCAUAAGUUUUCUUUCACUUUUGAAUCAAAAGCCCAUAACCAAUGUUACACAUUAUUCUUUUGAAAAACAAAUGAUUUUUGAGUUUCUAAGCAGGACUAAGCAGUAAUAAUUCUUUUUAUGAAACAGGGAUUUAGGAAUUUUCAAGGAAUGAUAAUGCAUCAAUUGUUUAUCACAUAACUCCUAUCACCUAAUGCAUCAUAUCAGGUGAUAAAGCAUUUAAAACGCAAGGAAGGGGCAAAUGCACCGGGGCUUGCCUUAUUACAGUAGGAAAUCUGAGAUCUUCUAUUACGAUAAGCAGUUAGAUGGAAUCCACCACUGGAUCAGCAGAACUAGAACAGGCUCCUUCUUCACAAAUCACUUCUUCUUGGUACUCUAUAUGAAAUGUCAUGAUUAUGAAUGCCUGUGUCUAUGCUACUAGCAAGGAAGGUAUUACGAAGCAUUACGAAAUUACAAUUACAAGCUAUCACCAAAAGCCAUAACUACCAGGGAGCUACUUAUCCUUAGAACUCAUCUAACCAUCCAAAACAUGCUAAACAACUUCAUUUUACACGAACACAUUAGAUGCCCAUUUUUCUCGGACUUUCUCCCACAUUUACGUAUAUAUCCGAACCAUACCUGCUCUAACACGCGGAAAGCCGAUGAAGCGAGAGAACCACAUGGAGAAAGUAUGCCGAGCAUGACGGCCUGCUGGGCAUGAGGAACUGCAUGAGAAGACGACACUAAUAAAUACUAAGUACACGGCCGACAAUUCCAAACAUAUAAAAAUCGACGACGUACCAGCGAGACAGGCAGCUAGCAGCUUUACGAUGACACCGCGAGCACGACGAGGUCGGAAGAGAGGCUGUGGGUCAAGGAAAUCAACGACGCGAAGGAGCUGCGAGGUUGAGCGUGGCCGAUGAGGAGACAACAACCAUGAGCAUGUUGCAGCUCACAGCAUGAUGGGGAACUGCGGCAAGCACAACAAGCAAGGCUGCACGACGAGCGUCGGCACGGCGUGGAAGCUGCAGGACGACGUCAGCCCUCACCAACGAGGUCGGCGGAUGGCAAAGCGUGGAGUUGGAAGACGGUACCAGGCCGGCGAGCUGGAACGUGUGCGAUGGAGCAGCGACAGAUGGUCGGUCGAGCGCGUGAGGAAGCAGCUCAAGGCAUGGAAGAGCAGCAACAGCGCCCAAGCCAGCGUGAGAAGGGAGCUCGCGUCCAGGCUCAGUAUCUGGGACUUGAGCACAGGGUACAAGGCGAAGGCGAGUGCUAUGCGCUAUGCGUGAGAGUUCAAUUGGAGCACGUUCACUGAAAGAAAUAUCUGAAGCCGAGAUAGAGAGAGAGACGUGAGAGAUUUCUAGAGAGUGUACGUGUGCACCGGAUAAAAGAGAGAACGUUGAGAGAUGCAACUAGAAUGGAUAGGAAGGAGCGCUUGAAUUAUCUAGACGAGAGAAAUGAUGUGGAGAUAAGGAAGAGAAUAAA
rnacentral:lncRNA from 1 species